GCAGGGAAGGAGGAGUCACAAGGUACCUAAGAACUUCAAGUUGUUGUAUGGCUAUAUUACAAGCAUUUUAGGAGAAAUAUCAGACAUGCACCACCUGAUACAUUAGAUCAUGUGGAAAGUUCAAAAGCAGCCAGGAGGAUUUGGGUGAAACGUUCUAGCAUGAGAAGAUCAUGAACAAGCAAAGAAUAUUUGGGCCCAAGGGGCUGCUCAUUAGAAAUGUGAUUAAAACUGCUCCAAAAUCUGAAGGUGUUCUGCUGUGAGUGUUGGUGAUGAGUCAGCCCCCAAGAAGAGAGGGUUAUAGUUUUGGGAAGUUUUAAUAGUAUGUGUCUAUUGCGGUUGAUGGAAAUGCCAAGUCUGGAACAUGACUAACAGGCACUGGAGCCAAAACAAGGAUGGAGGAUGGUUUUAUUGAAAGAAGAGAAUUGGAGACUAGAAGAAAACAAUAAGUGCAAACAG